UCAUUCUUACCAAUAAAGAAAUCUAUGAUCUAACAAACUAAAUCACCAACCUUAGGAGCUUAAUAUUUGUUUGCAUCUAAACAAAAUAAGAUUUAGAGCUGAUAUUUUGAACUAUUUGGUGCUUUUGUUCUUCCCUGCAUGUGCAUGGAAUUACAAUGAAAAUUUCCUUUCAUUCUUCUUUUAGCUGUUGAAAGGUUUGAUCAUGAGGACAAAGGUGAUUUUGCAACUUCACCAAAGCAUUUUAGAGUCAAAACCUCCACAGAGGAGGAGAAAGAACGUAAGCCCCCUUUACAGCAGAGCUAGCAAGACCUAGAUCCCAUUCCACCACCCAGUACCAUAUAUAUAAACACCUGUCCAAACUCUUUUGAACAAUGAGCAACUUUUAGAUGCUCAUAUUUUGAUGUUUUUAUAACUACUUGAUCUAUUAAAAUAUGCCCAAUAUUUUCACAGAACAAGCAGCACAUAAAACAUGUUAUUAGUUUAUUUUUUGGUAACUUAAGCUUGCUAAAUUAAGCAUAAUACCAAUGUUUAGAUCUCCAUGUUUAUAUAAAUAAUACCAUUUUCCCUGCA